UUAGGACUUAUUUUCCAAUCAAACAAAGUUUCUCACAUCCGAAGACUAAAGAAAAGUUUUAUAUUGAGACUUCACUACUUUUUAUCUCCAUUUCUUCAACUUCUACAAGUACAUUUCGACUACAAGUGGUCUCAUGAAUAUUGAGAUAAAUCAAGUGAUUGUGAAUCAUAUGAUGAGUGAAAAUGGAGUAGCCAUUGGGCACAUAAAAUUGUUCCAAAUUACCUUAUUUGAGGGUUUUCAUCAAGCAACAUGGGUGCAUACUUAAAACACAACCAGCUAAACACAACUACUAGAACUAAUGCCAAACAACAUUAACAAAAGGAGGAAAAAAAAAAAAACAGAACCACCACAGAACCAUUAGGACGUCACAUAUAGUGUUAUUUGAGCAAAUAAUGUCGCAGACCAACCUAGUAGAAGAAAUGCGAGGAAGUACAAUAACAUGCGGUUGGAGGCUCCGAGAUACUUUUCUACUGUUGCCAGACUUGUUAGAAGAGUUUUCCACAAGUAUCCAAAAUUAUGACCAACUAGGAUUUACUUUUGGAUAGUAAAACCCCAAAAAUUUUGCCUAUAGGAAUUUAUUUGUUUUACGUAUUAAAUUUACUUUUUGUAAUUGUGAAUACUCUGAUACAAUUGAAAAAAAUUACUAAUUGGUUUUAAA